rnacentral:rRNA from 1 species
CCGGACUAUUCUCAUGUACUGUCAUUAUCAUCCCUGGUAAAAGAGCUUUACAACCCUAAGGCCUUCAUCACUCACGCGGCAUUGCUGGAUCAGGCUUUCGCCCAUUGUCCAAUAUUCCCCACUGCUGCCUCCCGUAGGAGUCCCCCCGUGCCCCCGCCCCGCCCGCCGCGCGCGGCGGGCGGGGCGGGGGCACGGGGGG